GAAUUACCAACGAAGACGUUUACAUUUUCAUGGAAGGAAGAAGGUGGAUUAAAUUCGUAAAAAAUAUUUCUGUUUAAAAAGAAUGAAGUAGAACGUCAUAAAGAUUGAGAUAAUCCAAAGUACUGGGAUUUUCGCUUAACCCGCUUGACUCACACUAUCUGGGACCCCAUGCAAUCCUCAACGUCCGCACCAAUUUGGUAAAAGCACGGAAUAAGAAGGUGGACUUAUCUCUCCCACAUCCAUUAUCUCAGCCCUUGGAUACCCUUUUUUUCUUUUUUUUUUGUUUAUUUUUGAAUCAGUUACUUCCAGGAUCGUCAACAUCACAUAUUUUUUCCUCUAUCGAAAGACAAU